CAGCCGCCACGGUAAUGCGAAGGGGGCUAGCGUUGUUCGGAAUCACUGGGCGUAAAGGGCGCGUAGGCGGCCGAUCAAGUCAGGCGUGAAAGCCCCGGGCUUAACCUGGGAACUGCGUUUGGGACUGGUUGGCUUGAGUUCGGGAGAGGAGAGUGGAAUUCCCAGUGUAGAGGUGAAAUUCGUAGAUAUUGGGAAGAACACCGGUGGCGAAGGCGGCUCUCUGGACCGAUACUGACGCUGAGGCGCGAAAGCGUGGGGAGCAAACAGGAUUAGAUACCCCCGUAGUCCCUGUCUCUUAUAC
rnacentral:rRNA from 1 species